CCUACGGGCGGCAGCAGUAGGGAAUAUUGCUCAAUGGGGGAAACCCUGAAGCAGCAACGCCGCGUGGAGGAUGAAGGUUUUCGGAUUUGAAAACCUUUUUUUUAGAGAAGAUAAUGACGGUAUCUAACGAAUAAGCACCGGCUGACACCAUGCCAGCAGCCGCGGUACUACGGAGGGUGCAAGCGUUACUCGGAAUCACUGGGCGUAAAGAGGGCGUAGGCGGGUUAGCAAGUCAGAUGUGAAAUCCUAUGGCUUAACCAGAGAACUGCAUUUGAAACUGUUAUUCUAGAUUAUGGGAGAGGUAGGUGGAAUUCUUGGUGUAGGGGUAACAUCCGUAGAGAUCAAGAGGAAGACUCAUUGCGAAGGCGACCUGCUAGAACAUAACUGACGCUGAUGCGCGAAAGCGUGGGGAGCAAACAGGAUUAGAUACCCCAGUAGUC
rnacentral:rRNA from 1 species